GGAGGAGUACCCAAGUUCGGCUGAAGGGAGCGGUCUUGAAAACCGCCAGGGGCUUUACCGCCCGCGGGGGUUCGAAUCCCUCCUCCUCCGCCA
rnacentral:tRNA from 1 species